rnacentral:lncRNA from 1 species
AAUUAAAAAAAUAAAAAAAUAAACCCUCAAUCCCUUAUCCACCCCUCUCAUUCAUCUCAACCUUUCUCUUUCAUCUCUUUCACUCCAACAUUUUCUCUGUCAUCCCUACUCUAACCCUAAUUGAAAAAAAUCAAAAAUGCUUGUCUUAUUUUAAUAAUUUUCAUUCUCAAAAUUAAAAAAAAAAAAAAACCCCAAACCCUUACUCACCUCCUUCAUUCCUCUCAACCUUUUCUCCUUCAUCUCUCUCACUCAACACAUUUCCUCUGUUAUCUCUGCACUAGCUCUAACUAAAA